rnacentral:lncRNA from 1 species
UUGGUGGCUGCAAAGAAGAAGAAAAAGCUCCUGGAGUCGAUCAACUGUAGGUUCCAACUCAUUAUGAAAAGUGGAAAGUAUGAGCUGGGGUACAAGCAGACUCUGAAGAUGAUUAGACAAGGCAAAGCAAAAUUGAUCAUUCUCACUAACAACCACCCAGCUAUGGAAUGUUGGCCAAAACUGGUGUCCAUCACUACGGUGGCAAUAAUAUUGAACUGGGCACAGCAUGCGGAAAAUAUUACAGAGUGGGCACACCGGCUAUCAUUGAUCUAGGUGAUUCUGACAUCAUUAGAAGCAUGCCAGAACAGAUUGGUGAAAAGCAA